CACCAGAUCUACAGUCCUACACCUGUAGCUCAGAGAACAGACUGUAAAAUACUGUUAGUUUAUAAAUCACUGAAUGAUUUAGCACCACAUUAAAGAUCUACAGUUGUAUCAACCUUCCAGACGCCUCAGAUCUUCUGGUUCUGCUCUGCAUCUCCAGAACCAGAACCAAACGAGCAGAAGAAGCAUUCAGCGUCUAUGUUUAACCCGCAAUUAGUCAAGACUUUUAUUUUUGUGGGUCCACUUCCUGUGUUGCCCCAAACUCUGCCAGCUUAUUUAAAGCCUCCAGCGUGCAGUUUGAACUUCAUCACCUUUUAUUUGAAACGUGAUCAAUUUAAUGAUGGCAUCGACUUAAUGUCACGUUUUAAUUGUUGAUUCUAUGUUGCAUGACUGUUUGUUUGAUGUAAAGCACUUUGAAAUGCCUUGCUGAUGAAAUGUGCUAUACAAAUAAAAUUUGAUUGGCUGAUAAAAGGAGCCCAGACUCAGAUCUGAGCAGAACCUGGGGGUUCUGUUUUGGCCCGGAUUUCUGCCUUGAACUCGUUGCAUCUCCUGAGGAUCUGAGUUUUGCUGAAGCUGGAAAACCAGAGUCAGACAGACAGAGAUCACAUAAACAUACAUUUAUUACAAAUAUCACAAAUCAUGAAACGAUUUCUUAAUAAAUCACAUCUUUGGGAACUCCGGAUCAUAAUUCCUUUAUAAACGUUUUAAAUACAAGUCACAAAUUAAUCUUUACAAUCCUGAACUUGGUUUCCAACCAGUCAGAUUCUUCUUCUGCUCCACGCUAAGGUGCCGACUCGUCGUCUUCUCCCAGGGUUUCCAUCAACUCUUCUGCAUCUGCAGGAUUUGUUUGAGGAUUCACUGUUCAAUUUCAAAACCUACUGAAGCGCUUUGUUUGGUUGUACAAACAACUUUUCCUGAAACACAUUCUGCCAUCCAAAAGUACAUGAACCCGUUUGUGAAAGCCAGCUCAGUAAACCCAGAGACGACUCGGGGAGGAGGCCGUGUCCCUCGGCUUGGAGGAAACAAGGUGACUUGAUGAAGCAUCUUGACAUGUUUCAGUUCCUAUUAGUUGCUUCAGUUGAAUCCGUUUCCAGAUCCGAUCUGAUGAAACCCUGAAAGCUUCAUGGAAACAUUUCCAGCAGCUGAAUCCAUAAAGCAACAGCAGAAACGAUUUCUGGAGAGAACCGAAACCCUGACGCUCAGACCAGCCAGCGGCGGCGCUGUUCUACAGAGGAGGGUUGAAUGUGGGCAAAAUCCCAGAAGCUUGAGGAGUUCUCAGAGUUUCCUUUCCUAGCUGCAGGACAAACUGAAUUUGGAAUAUAAAUGAUAAUCUUAAAAUUCAUCAGCGGCAGAAUGUGGCAUAAAGCCAAACAAAGAGUUUUUGGGCCGUUCAUAAAGACAGAAGCUGUGUAGGAAAUAUUAAAUGCUACCUUU